UGGCCAAGAUUGAAAGGUGGAAGAGGGGGAGGAGGAGGAAAAAGAAGGAAGCAAUGACCAAGAAUGAGAGAUGGCAAUCGCCCAUGUCGGGCAGAUAUUUAAGCCAAGGAGCUUUUUGAUGUUCGAGAGGGAGAAAGAGAGAUUUAUGUGUCAGGUUUUUGCCGAGCUUUGAUACCCAUCGAAGUGUGUUUUGAGCUGGCGUUGUCCGUUUGUGCCAAGUUUAUGACACGGCGGCGAUUAUGCCCUCCCGCGUCCUGUCAGCUGCUGAGUCAGCCUAAUCUGAAGUCGUAGAUCAGGCCAUCCGGACGAGGUGGAAGAAAAUCAUUUAAGGGAUACGUGGGAGAGGAAGUGAGCGCGCGCGUCCGAAUGUGAGAACUCUGGUCGCGGGAUAACGAAAGUGAUUGAAGUUCCGAUUCUGUGUUUCAGGUAAAACGACUGAAGAAAAAAAGAAAGAAAAUAAUCAAAUUUUGAUAAAACGAAGGAAUAAUAAAAUAAUAAUAAGAAAAAUCAAAAGGGUGAAAAGAAAAAGGGAAUAGAAAAUUACGCCAAGAGUGAAAGCGAAAGUGUGCGUAAGAGUUACCAAAGUGCCUCCAGCAGUGUGAUGUCCAAGGGAAAGACUCGUGCCAUCACAAGGUCAGAGUAGGUCACCAUCACCACCACUAUGCCGGCACCACCCGAUACGGACGGCAGGACGAAGAUAGGCGAGUCGGGAGGCGAGAAACAGCCCUUCCUCGGCGGCGUGGAGCCCGUCCGCCUCACGCCUUCAUGGGAGAACACCAACCUGCCGAAGGAGGAACUCAACUUCAAAAAUGUCAGCACCUUCGAGACCUUCGAGGUGGAUAUGGAGCCUCCCAAGGACAGGUGAGUCGAGCAGAGUGUAUUCAGGUGAACUUAUGAUAACAAAGAGUAAGUCAGACGAGAGACCACGCCAUAGUGAAGAAGAGAAAAACAGGUAAGGCGCAUGUUUAUAUCUUGUUUGCUUUCUCUUAUCAUUCUGCGCAUUCUGUCGAUUACGAAAGAAAUUGUCUCGCAGAAUUAAGUUUACAAGUCUUCGAGAAUGUUAUGAUAGUGUGUUUAGUCUUCGCUUUAAGACCGGUUUUCGUAAUGGCUGUGCGGAUAAAC